UUUGAAUCCAUCGUUAAAUUUAAUAAUUUGCUUGUAUUCAUUAUAAACAAAAUUUUAAGUCUAUGAAUUUGUAUCAUUUCAAUAAAAAACAAUAACUUUUUAAUAUAUAUUAACAAUUUAAAUUUUGUUAUUGUCAAACAAAUAAUUAGACAUGUUAAAAGAAAAUUAAAAUUUAACAUAUAUGAUUUAAGUGAAUAAAAUAUAAAAUUUAAUGAUUUUAUUAGUAAAAUAUAAAUCAAAUAUAAAAUAUAAAAUUAUAUAAAAUUAAGUUAAUUUUAUACUAAUAUAAAUAAACCUCUAUUCAUCAAAAUGAUAAAAUAGCAUUUGUCAUAAAUAUUUUUUAAACAAAUUAUAAAGAUUAAUACGUGCCUUUCGGCAUUACCAAAUAAGAAAAAGAGAAAUAAUACUUUUGUUAUAUUGGACAGCUAAAAACGCCCAAAUACAUUAGCCUGCAAAUUACCAAAAAAAUUAUAUAUGACCUACCAAAAGUAUUUAAAAUUUCGUUUUUAUGAUAUGUAAAUAGAAAUAUCCACAGAUCUGAUUUAAUUUCGAUAUGAUAUUAAUUUAUGUAUUUUUUUAAAGUUUAACCUAAUUCGACAAUUCAAUCUUCAAAAUUUCUUCAAAUUCGCUUUUAUUUUAUAAAUGAUACAACUUAAAUUCAUCUAGGUUACAUUUAAAAAAAAUUAAGAAUAUGUUUUUAUUAAUCUUUAGUAUUUUUGUAUUAAACUAAACAAAAACAACCCAUAUAAAAUAAAUAAAUAAUUGUUAUUUACAAUGAAAUUUUAAAUUUUAAAAUUAUUUAGUUUUUAAAAAUUAUUCAUACAUUCAACUAAAAGAACUAUCCAAUAUUUUUUAAAUUACAUAACUUAUUUUUACUUUACCUUUUUUUCAUUUUUAAAAAUUUUUGUACUUAUUUUUUUCUUUCAAUCAUACAGGGGAUUUGAUUAUAAUUGUAAUCGAUCGAAUUUGAACCGAUAUAAUAUUAAAUUUGAAUUUAACUCAAAAUUUGAGAUUUGAAUUAUAUCGAAUUUUAUUUUUUUAACUUAAAUUUGACUAAAGAUAAAAAUCGAACUAUUCAAAUUUAUUUGAUUAAACUCGACUAAUAUAUAAAAAUAAGUUCGAUUCUUAUAUCAAAUAAAAACUCAAUUAUUUGUAUUCGAACUCGAGUUUGAAUUCGAUAUAUUUUAUUAAUUAAAAUAAUAAAAAAUAAUUUUAAAAAAUUUAGUUUAAAUUAGUAAGCUAUUCGAGCCGGAUAUAAAAUAUUCAAACUUAACUUGAUCGAUAAAUAAAAUUAUUCGAGUUCAAGCUCAAUUAAAUAAUAACUGAUCGAAUUUAAAUUUUAUUUGAAUCGAACUCGAAUAAUUUACGAAUAUUAAUAUAUUAUCUACAUCCUUAUAUUUGAUAUAAUAUAGUCUACAAUAAAGUGUAGAUAAAUAAAACACUAAAACAAUUGUUUGGAUUGAAAUUACUUAGAAUUUGUUUUUUUUUUUUUUUCAGUUUUAACCCAUAUAAUUUUAAUUCUAUAAAUUAGUCUAAAUGUAACACAAAUAAAAAAAAAAAAAAAAAACCAAACAUUAUAGUGGGCAUAUGUAUAUAUUGUUCAGAAAAUUAAUUUUGAAUAUCUCUUAAAAAAAAACCAAACAAAAUCGUCCUAAUCUUGUUCAGAAAAAGACUGGCUGAUAUGGACUGGCAACCAAGCACAUGGAGAUCUCUUUCAAGCAUGUCUUUUUUCUUUUUUGAAAUGGAGAGUCAAAUUUUUUAUUUUUAAAUAAAAAAGACAAGGCAAAAUAACAAUGACUCGAGAAAAAGAUAACAUUGGAGUAUUGGAGGCCAAAAUACACAAAACAAGCUAAUUCUAGAUAAAUACCCAUUUUUAUUAACUUCUUUUUUUAUUUGAUUUAAGAAUGACAGAAUUAAAUUUAAUUUUUUGAGCUGAGAGAUUAAUUUAAGAAUGAGAAAUAAAUAAAUAAAAAACUAAAAAUUGAUACGAAUUUUGAAUCUUAAUGUUAAGUUUAGAUUUUCUUAUAUCCAAUUUUAUUUCAGUUUUGAUUAUGAAAAUAUAUUCUGUUCAAAUUAAAUUGAAUUAAUUUUAUUAAUUUUAUAUUAUUUUAUAUAUUUUAUAUAAUAAAAUAGCUAUAGUAAAUAAAUUAAAAAUAAUAUUUUAAAAUAAAAAUAUCGAUGAACCAAGACAUAUAAUAAAAAAAUUUUGCAAGUUGGAGAUUAAAACUCAUAAGCUUGCCGUGAAGUCUAAUUCGAUUCCUUCAAAUCAUAUAGAAACAAAAGAACAUUAAGAAUAUGGGUGGUCCGUUAAGCUCUGGAAUAAUAAUGGUGAUACAUGUGAGCUCAUCAAUAUUAGAUAACUAUAAAGAAGAGAUAACAUACGCGUCAAGUCACAACUUAUGCUUAAUCAUUCUCAUCUAUAUAAACAUUUCCUUUUAGUUUAUAGUAUAGGUAUAAAUGAUAUAUUAGUACUCAUAAGCUACUCGAGUUCGAUUCGAAAAAAACUCGAAUUCGAUUUGAUUAUUAUCAAGUCGAGUUCGAACUAUAAUAAUUCGACUUAUCGAUCAAGUCGAAUUCGAGUAUUAUUAUAUCCGACUCGAGUAACUUACGAACUUAAUCGAGUUUUUAUAUUUAAAUAUAUUUUUAUUAUUUUAAUUAAUAAAUUAUUUUGAAUUUGAGUUUGAGCUCAAACAUAAAUAAUCGAACUCUUAUCGAGUAUAAAUCGACUUAUUUUUACAUAUUAAUCGACUUAAUCGAGUGAGCUCGAGUAACUCGAAUUCGAUAACGAAUCAAGUUCGAGCUUGAAAAAUAAAACUCAAUCGAGUUCGAGCCGAAUAUCGAGUCGCGAAUUGUGAGUCGAACUCGAGUUCGACUUCAGACUGUAUCAGCUCGACUCGACUCGAUUACAUCUCUAAUUUUUAGGUAUAUUAGCAUACACAUUUUUUUUCAUAAUUAUACAUGUAUUUUAAAAGAAUUUAGAAACGUAAUAAUUUUUUUUAGUAAAAAAUUUAAAGAUAAAUUAAGAAUUAAAAAAUAAAAAAUUAGAGUGUGAUUUUAUAAACAAUGAUUAUCAUUCUAGGUAAUUUUUUUUUUCAAAAGAUAAAAUAAUCCAACAAUAAUCAUCCGUUGCAUAAAAAAUCGGUUUUAAAAUAACUGAAUAAAUUUAUCUAGUUGAAGGCAAGUUACGUUAUGAAAUGGUUGAAUGCCAAUAAUGUAAUAUUAUAUGGUAAAGUUGGUCAACACCAAUGGGUUUUAGAUUUUGGCAGCUAGCCACCUAACGGUUCACUUUGAAUCAUUUGCCGAAUUGAAUUUUGUAUUUGCGGCCGCCAAUAAUUCCGUGGUUUUGUCCCAGAAAGAUUGCACAUUCUGUAGCAACAACAACCAACUCAGCAUUUAUAAGAAAAUUUAUAUACAACAUUAAUGAUUCUUCAAUUAUUACAUAUAUAUUUUUUAAAAAUUUCGUCUUAAAUAUAAUUAAUUAAAAAAAUAAUGAUUUGAAUAAUUAAGAAUUAUUGAUAAACAAAAAUAAAAGAAAAAAACACUCUUGUUUAAGGAUAUAGUUGAAUUAUACAAUAUUAAAUUUGAGUUCAAGUCUCUAAUUUAUUUUAUUGAUAAUUUUAUUUACUUGAAUCAUAUAUACUUUAAUCUCAUUGAUAUUUGAAAAUAUUAAAAGUUGAAUUGUGAUUAUUCAAUUUAAAAAAGUAAUACUCUAUCAACCGUUUCAUAUAAAUAUUUCUUAAUUUCAUUAAAUAAUGAUUAAAAAAUUAUUAUUUUAUACAUCAAAGUAAAAAUUUUUAAUUUUAUUAUUAAUUUUUAGAUAUAUUCUAAAACACUACCACUAGCGUUAUCUAUUUUUUUUUAUAUUCGAGAUUAUCAAAAUUUAAAUUUUAUAUUUUUUUAAUAGUAAACUUCUAGUUUCCUUUAAUUUUGGAGAACCGGGAAAUUAAAUAAAAAAACCACUCAUGUUCCGCAUAGGACUCGCUCAAUUGUCCAAGCUCUCUCCUCUUUCUUCCUUUUCCCCUCCAAACUCCUUGAUUGAAGAAACAAAACACAAAACAUAUAAACUUAAAAAAAAAAAAAAGUAAAGAAAAAGAAAAAGGAAAAAGGAAAAAGGAAAAAGAGAAAGAGAAAGAUAAUUUGUUUAGAGAAAGGAAAUCCUUUAUGGUGCGUACCUCAUCUUAUCUUUUUAUUUUAUCACUUUAUUUAAUAAUAAUAAAAUUCUUCUUUUUUAAUGAUAAAAUUAUUUAUUUAGAAAUAUAAAAAGAAAAGCUGGGAAAAUAUGAUUGUUGUCUCAUAUUAUGAAAAUAAAUAUUAGUUGUACUUUUGUUUUCUUUUUACAGGUGAAUAAUUGAAAGCUGUGAAAAAAUAUUUUCACCACAGUUGUUUCUGUACAACCCAACAAACUGGCACGCCAAUCUCAAGGUAUCCGAUGUUUAUUCAUUUAUUUAUUAUUUAAAUCUGUUAUAAUCAUCAUUUCAACUAUUAAUUACAUUUUUUGCAUUUUAAUUUCCUUGUUCCAAUUGGAUAUUUUUAUUGUACAAGUUUUAAACCAAGCAAACUCUCCCAUUUUUUCUAUGGUCUUUCAUUUCCAAGAAAUCUAAGAACUCUCUUUCUCUCUUCCCUUCACUUUCCCAAUAAAUUUUAUUUUAUAUUAAUAGUCUUAAACGAGUGAAAUUUUUUUCUUGUGUAACUGUAAUGCAAUGGAAAGUGGUAACCGGAGGCUUACGCUUUUUGAGCAAAUGUCAGUGGUUGAUAACGGCCGGAAUUCUCUGGCCGGUUUGACUCUCGAUGCGGUUUUAGGCAAUGCUAAGCGGACUGAACAACCGGCGGCUCAGAACCGUACGCUUCUGGAGAUUAUACGAGACGAUGGGUCCAACAAAGACAAGAAGACUUGGAAAACGUUUCGGAAGAAGCUCCGCCUCAAGCGAGCGGGCUCUGCUUGGACCUCCUCGGUUCCUAUCCCGGCUUCGGAUGUUAAUGUUCAUAGUAACAGAUCACAAUUCUCGGGGCGCGGUUCUUUUCGUUCUAACUCGUCUGACUCGACUCGCGUUGGGGAUGGAGUUGAACGUGCCCCUGUUUCUGACCCACCAGUUGUGAACUCUCGGUUGGAAUUGGCGGGGAGGGGUUCGGUUCUGUUCGGGAACAAUCAGGUUCGGACCGAUCACGAUGAUUCUGCUGAUGUCAGCAUGCCUAGCGAUGCUCCACCCUCGAGAAGCUUUAGGCCACAAAAUACCCGUCUUCGUUCGACUCGAAUUCCUUCCUCUAACACUGCCAGAAAUGACGUUGACAGCAGCGACGAAGACGAUUCUCCUGUGGCGCGUGAUGAAACGCGCCAACUAGGAGCGGCAUUGGCGGAGGAGAGGGCAUUGUCUGCGAGAGAAGCAGUUGCGGCACAGGAAGCAGCGGAAGCGGCUGCUGCAGCUGCAGCCGCCGCGGCCGAAGUUGAACAAGCUGCAGCGGCAGAGAACAAUGCUCCGCCAACGGUUGCGGCUGAGGAGCCGGUGAGGAUGUCAUUGAUGGAUUUAUUAGAAGAAACAGACCGACAAAUGGGGCUGACCGGAUCAAGAUACACGAUGGGAGACGACGAUGGGGAAUACGAGGCAGAGGCGGAGGAGGAGGUGGAGGAGGUAGAAGAAGAAAUAGUGGAAGCGAGCAGUGGGAUCGAGUACACGUGUUGCGUCUGCAUGGUUAGGCACAAAGGUUCAGCGUUUAUUCCCUGCGGCCAUACGUUUUGUCGGCUUUGUUCAAGGGAGCUUUGGGUUCAGCGAGGUAACUGCCCUCUUUGCAAUGGCUUCAUCUUGGAAAUUCUUGAUAUCUUUUAAUAUAUAUAUAUAUAUAUCUUAUUCUAGUUCUUGCUUUUGCUUCUUCUUCUUUUCAAUGUCAGUAAGGUUCAAAUCAUCUCCCAUCUCUGAUUAUGUAGAAAUUGUGAAAGGCAAUAGUUCUUCUCUUCUCGGCUUCUUCUUUUUUCAAUUUUUGGUUAGUUUUGUUUGAUCUUUGACAUGGUAAAAGAAGCAAGUUUCAGUGAUUCAUUUUAGAGUUGUCGCUUCUGAGAUUGCAAAGAAUGAUUAUCAUUACUAGGUGGUUGACAACUUGACAAUCUUGAUUCAUGACCAUGAAUGACCCAGACUUCUCUUUCUUUUUUUUUUUUUGUUACCCUGGAAAUUGCAAAGGGGUUUUUGUUUUUUUUUUUGCUAAAGAAACAUUGGUAGAACAGUGGAUAGAGCUGGGGGAAGGGAAUUGCUUAAUGGUCUUACUAUCAUUCUCUUGUCUGUAUGUUCCAAAACGAAUAGAGGUAAAGAAGAAGAUGUGGGACCAGUGAGCCUGACGAUGGGUUCUUUCUUUAUAUAUAUUUUUAGAAGAAACUAAUUGGCAAAGUGAUGGUGAUGUGAUGAAUCGGUUGGGUGAAAAGCAAAGCUGUCUCUGGCUUUUGGAGCUGUUAAAAAGAGCACGAGGUUGAGGGGACAGGUGCUUGGUAUGAUUUUUUAUUCUGAAUGUGAGAAUCUCUCAAUAGUAACAACAUCAAUUUUGCCAACUUUGAUUCAUUUUCAGAGAGAGAGGCUUUAGUGUUUUUAGUUUUUGGAGAAGAGGAGUGGUAAGCUUCUGAAUGGAAACAGAAAAGCACCAAUUGUCUUCUAGAAUAGAAAGCUUGUUUCUCUGUGAGCUUAUGCAUCGGCAAUCUCUCACUUUCAUCGCUUAAACUGCAGAAAGACGUCCUACGUUUUACAGUAUUUUCGCAAAUCAAUGAACAUAAUUAGAAUUGAAGAGGUAACGGGCUUUAGUAUAGGGAAAUGCUGCUACUAUUAUUUUCAUCACAUGAGUGUAAUAGAAUUUACGCAUUAAAAUGUAUAGCAAAAUGAGAAAAAGGGAAGAAAAUUCAAACCAACCCCUUCCUGCCUCAACCUUAGAACCUUGUUUAAGGGGUUAGCCGAACGGACGCACCAAACCUCCAAUUUCUAAUCUUUUUUUUUUUUUUCUAAAGAAAUGAGUGCUCAAAGUAGGAUGAAUAAUAAAAUAUUGAAUUCUUAAUUUUAAUAAUCAAAACUUAAUUUUUAUUAGCAAUUAAGAUUUUAUUUUUUUAAUUCAGUUCUGUUGAUUGUUGAAGCAUAUAAACACUUUAGAGAUUUGUUGGUUGAGAGUUAAAGGUGAUGGAUGCUUUAAGGUGUGGGUCAAGAAUCAUCUCUAUCUACUUUGGUGGGAAUUUUAGGGCUGGUAAUUUAAUUAGAUUAAGCACUUCGUUGAACCAGAUGCUUGACCCUUUUAAUUUAUUCAUCCAUUCUUGAAUAAUAUUUAACGGAUUUAACAUUCAAAUUUUAAUAUUUAUAAUUUUUUAUAUUAAAAUUAAAACAACUACAAUAUAUUUGUAAAAAAAAAAAAUUACACUCUUCCUCUCCUAUUGCUCCGGAUAAAAACCAUAAGAAAGGUGAGCGAUUUACAUAAAUAAUCUUAAUAGCUUUCAUCACGUAAACGGAUUAAUGUCAUCUCAAAUUAUAUGCUAAAGUGGUUGAGAACUUGAGACGGUGAAGCAAUCAAAGGACUUAUCCAACUUUUUAUGAACUGAAUUUAAUAAUUUCUCUUCUUUUUUUUUUUUGGGCGUCAACUUCUUAAUAAUACAACUUUGUCCUUGGAUCAAAAUUUUAACACAAUUUUAAUUAACAAUGAUGACAGUGAUGUACAUAAGCAUUUAGUUCGAUAAGGUAAGCAUAUAAAAUUUCACUUAAAAAUUUGGGUUCAAACUCCUUUUCUUCCUAUAAAUUUUACACUCUCAGUUCAAUCAUUUUGUUUUUGCUACAUAAUCGCAUUUGUUGUUACACAUUUAUAUGACUAAUUCACAAUUAGAAAGCUAAUAAAUGAUAGCAUCAAGGUGCAGAUAAACAAAUAACAUCGUAAAAUAUGAAGACCAAAGGGUUAUCCUCUUAUAAUGAAAUGCAACUACUAAACCCAAAAAUCCCGGGCAAAACAUUAUAGCCACCACCAUCAAUUGUUAACAACUUGCAGACCUGAUAUUUGUUUUGGUACACAAGGCAUCGAACACACGACUGUUCAGGAAAGCCUCUGUUGCUUAUGUUUAAUGAGGUGGGGCAGAAGCUGUAUGCUAUAGCAGUCUGUCUCAGACUCAAUUUCAACCAGAGCCAUGUGACUCAAGUCUGUUGACCAAGAAAGACAAUUCUAAAUACCAGUCUAAGCCAUGCUCAGAAGUUGGAUAUAUUUGCUUGCUACUUGAGAGAAGCCACGGGAGCAUUAAUGAACCAUGAUUUCCCAUUAUUGUGGAGGCCACUCUCUUUCUACAAAAAGGAAAAAAAGCUAAAAUAGGCUUUCGGCUUUAGUAGCAAGCAAUCACUUGGCUAGAUUCUGAUACAAACGGCUACUGUUUGUCAAAAUUUUGGCUUUUUGUGUUUGUUUUAUGGUGUAAAAUGAUAUAAAGAAACAUCAUCAUACCCAGUUGUCCGCAAUUUGUGGGCUAGGUGUCCAGGAAAGUUAGUGAUGUGUGAGAAAACUGCGAGGAAUAUUAUGACAUCUUGUUUCUCUUUGCACACAUUUCAUUUCAAGAGCUGUAUCACAUAUAUAACUACAGCUAUCAUAUAAAGAAAGUCAGGGGAGAGAGCCAGGGCAAGAGAGCUGUUAGAUACGGUUUUUUUUUUCCCUAAACUACCUGGAUCUUCAGUAAAGCCCACACAAAGCACAGUGAAUUUCUUUUGUAACGUCAUUUAACUGUCUGCAAACCAACUUUUUGGUAGUUUGUGAGGGACAGGACACAUAUCAGGUUGCCUCACUAUGUAAAUUUGAUCACCAACCUUAGUGUUCGAGUCCUGGUUUCGAUACCAGGUCCAUAAAGCCCAAGUCUCAUUCUUCACCUACAAUUCAUGUGUUACAGGUUAGGACCAGCAAAUCAAAUACUCAUCAUAAAAUUCAAAAAAAAAAAAAGGGGGAAAAAUAUUGUUAGGUCACAUUUUGCAUCUAAUUGUCUUAUAUGACAUUUGAGUUGAAUGACGACGGUUUGAAAUUGAACUCAAUUUAAGGACUAAUUGCCAUUUCCAAUCAAAGACAUAGAAGGAUGGUGGGAAUUCAACACCUAUCAGAAGUUGCUCUCUACAUUUCAGCCAAUGUCUACAAAUUUUCCAUCAAUGCAAAACAUCAUGAAAUAAGCAUAGAAAAACUAUUCCUACAAGGUACAUAUGCGAUUAAGGGCACCAUAAUAAUUUUGAUGACUGGCAUACUUCAAAUCAAAGUUUCCUCAAGUGCCUUCUUAAAAUUGAUAAUUAAGCAACACAGCACAUGGCAAAAUUAAAAGUUCAAAUUCCAUAUAUGAGAAUAUAUUGACUCUACUAUGAUGCUUAGGCUGUUGAACAUACACAAGCAGAGAGAAAGAGAUGCACAGAAAAAGAAUACCUCAAGGAUCCCAUGGCCAAAGCUACUUUCUCUGAAGGCACUGUAAUCAGGUUGCCGAUCCCAACAAAACUUUCCAGCUGCUGGACCACUUGUGAAGUUUGUUGCACAAAAUCCACCAAUAGCCACGUCAUAGGUUGAUGAUGGCUCGGGACAGUUACCAGGGUCGUCAGCAUGUUCAAUUGCCAUCUUUUCACGAUUUCCCCCAUCUCCUAUGGUGAUAUGUACUGGUCCACAUGGAUCUAAUGUAUAAUUGUAAACUCGAUUGGACCUUUCAUAGGCAUGAACCUAGCAACAUAUUUUGAGCAGAAUAUAGUUUGAUAUCACUAGGAAAUAAUAAACAUUUAGAAGCAGAUUCUCCCUCCAAACCCCCAAAGAAAUGAAACGGAAAAAAAAAAAAAAAAAACGUAUGACUUAUAUCUUGGUGAUUCAAUCUGUCAAUUGAGCUGAUUUCAUUAAAAUGUAAAAUUAUUAACUCUUGCCCUCCAAUGCGUCAUAUUCUUUUACUGCUUUGAUGUUAUAACCUUGGUCCCUCAUUUCCCAUAUGCAAACAUAAAUACUAGUUGGUUUUCAUGACUUACAUGUCCAUUAUAGACUAUAUCAACACCAUAACUGUAUAGUAAUUCUUCCAUUGCCACCCUCAUACAUUCUGCUUCUUUAUAAUGGGCUUUAUAAGAACUGUACCAUGGUGGGUGCCAAGCAGCUACCAGCCAUGGAGUCACGGAUCUAUCCACGUUAGCUAAGUCCCUCACCAGCCAACUGUAUUGCUCCGCUGCAGAAGAAAUAAAUAGAAUGCCUUAGCAAGUAGUUUACGCAAUAAUUUGAAAGAGGAAGGGGAAGAUCCAAAUUAUCAAUUUUAAAAUCCUACAAAUUGUUACUCCCAUAACAAUGUAGACUAGAAAAUUUCUAUCGCUGCUUGAUUUAUUUCAGAGAGAUUAAAUGCCUGAAACCCUAGAUAGUCUUUCAUAUCAUUGGUUUAUAUAAACCAUUGAAAGGAAUUAAACAGUGAGGGUAUUCAGAAACCUACACUAAGAAGAAGCUCGCCAUCAAGACUGAUAAGUAACAGAAUACCAUGCUUGAUAUCAUUAUAAAAAUGCUUUCUAGAAAAUGAUUAUAUUUGACAGAUAGUAGACCUGAUUUAGUAUAAGCAAUAUAUGCUCCAAGCAUGAUAAAAUGUAUCCCCCCUGCAUUGAAGGAGUAGUAGAAUGUGGACGAAGAUUCACUUUCUUUAGAAGGGAAUGCAAAUCGAGAACUGUAUGCUGCAAAUUUCUGGUUCCCAGCUUGCUCCUCUAUUUCAUGGUUCCCUUCUACCACCAUUAUUGGAGUUUUAGAAAUUAAACUCUGCAUAAACCUGCAGAGAACAUUCAAUUAACAAAACUUCAGCAUUUUUUUGGUUAAACUCAGACUUAAUGAAGGCAUCUCAACAAAGUCUUCUGCUUCCAAAACAGAACCAAAAAUAGAAAAGAUAAAGACAAAAAACGGCAAUAGUGAAUUAUCUGACCUCCCCCAGUAAUCCCAACGAGGUUGAUAGGUCUCAUGUAUUGGAGUAUAUGGAAAUGAGCAAUCAUAGCAGUCUGAACCAGUACCAUUUGUGAGGUACAGGUUUGCAUAAGUUACAUCACCGAUCAAUAGAACUAGAUCAGGAUUGUUCGUUGUUAAAUGGCUGAUUGUGUCAGUUGUAUUAUAUGUUAGUCCAAGAUCUCCAACAACUGCUAUUCUCUUUGGGUAGCUCCUGGGACUAGAAACUGGCAUAGUCCUGAAGUGAUAGAUAUCACUCAUGGCCGGUAUUGAAGGAUCUCCACAUCUAUAAUAAUAUAGUGUGCUGGGUUUCAGUCCUACAUAAGUAACAAAAGCAUAACACUCAUCAAAUGACUCAAAUCACAAGUCCUCACAGUGGUUAUAAACAAGGGCAGGUAGGAAACAAUCAAAUUGAUUAAGUUACUAGUAUGCAAUUAAAUUGGUUGGGAAGUAUUCAGCAAAAUAGGGGAGAAAAAUGUCUGGUGAGGGUAUUUAAAAAAUGACAUUUUCUCAAGAGAUGAAUGUUUGAAAAAAUAUCACUUUUCAUCACCUAAUAGCUUCCAAUAAUCAAGAGUUAUCCUUAUCCAAGUUUCUUAGCAGAAUUCAUGCAUUAUCUUUGGCCCAAAUGUUUGUUCAAAUUAGAACGAUGGUCAUACCAACUUUGUUGCUUCAAAAGCAAACUGCAUGGUAGAAACUAUAAAUUGAAUGAGACAACUCCUCCAUCAAAAGGCAAACACUAUAUCAAUCAAAUAAAACAAGAAUAAGGCCAAAAAAAUUUUAAUUAGGCUUGUCUUUGUUAUGUCUUAUUAAAUUUAUAACUUUUUCCUAUCAGUGGAUCUCAUCAAGUAUAAUGAUCACUUUGUUGUCCCCGAUUAAAAUUCAGUGGAACCAAAUAUACUGGAUUUCAAUUUAAAAUCUAUGACACUGAGUUAAACUAAGAUAAUCCAUCAAACCUGUUAGACGAACGUGGUGGAUGAUUCCAGAAGUAUAAUUCUGAAGGCCUUCAAAGGGGUAAAGCUGAUUGUACACCAAAGAAUAGCCAAUGGCUUCACGAGUUAAUGGAAACCUUGACCUCCCAUAACGAACCAAACUCGCAACAGUAUUAGGAUCCAAUGGCUUUAUGUUGUUACCAAUUUGGAAUUCCCCUGCAAAACAUUCCCAAUAUCUAACCCACAGUCACAUGUAAUCAAGCAAUAGACUAAUAACAACACAAACAUACACAGAGAUAAAGCAAAUACGUCGCUAAAUUAUAAUAUCAAAUGAAAAAUAUAUAUAAUUUUUAUAUUUAUGAUUCUGUAGUGUAUACAGUAAUCUAAAAAUUUGUAUUUUAUGGGCAGCAAAAAAACCAGGAACGCAAAAUAAUAAGAAUAAAAAAAUAGAAAUAUACAAUAAUUAAUAAAGAAGUAUAGCGAAUUAUGGGAAGAUUUGGAGGACCAACCGGUGACCCAUGAGAUCCAAACAGAGUCGUAAUUGACGGAGAGAGAGACCGAAAUCUGCUCGGGCUCGAAUCCUCUGACGCUGCGGCGCACACGGGGAUCAGUGUCGGGCAAAUCGACAGCGUUACCGCGCAAGCUGACAUCGUAGGGGACGGUUACGGGGUCGAAAGGGCCGUCGAGAGUGGAGGGAAUUCUCUCGGAGUCGGUAAAGGCGACGUUGAUGGCGAUGAUGGAGAGUGCGAAAGCGAAGGACCAACAAACCGUCAUCCUUUAAAACCGCUUAAAUUUUCCAUUGAGAGAGAGGGAACGUACGAGAAGAAAGGAAUAUUAAUGAUGGAUGAUGGAAAAAAAAAAAGAAACUGACAGUCUGGAUUUUGUUGACAGUUAGUGACCGUUGUAUUAGGACCACUUGUCUUCAUUUUUUUUUCAAAAAUAAGUUAUUUACAAAUACCAGUAAUUAAAUUUUAGACACCAAAGAAUAACAAUAUAAGCAAAAAGGACAAAUUUCUUUCAUUUUCUAUUACAAAUAUAGUGUUGUAUUUGAUGAAAGCUUUUCUUAAGCACUUGCUCAAGGAAAAUAAACCUCAACUAAUAAUAAUACAAUAAUAAAUUUGGUAAUUCGCAUGUUGUGUCUCUUGUGAUUGUGUUAAAUAUAUGUAAAAUAUAAAAAUUUAUUAUGUUAUAAUUUAUAUAAACAAGUUUAAUAUAAAAUAAAUUUUUAAAAAUAAAACAUGAAACAUAUUUAAUUUUUUUUUUGUGUUCUUAUGUAACAUAUAUAAUAUUAUAUUAUAAUAUACAUAAAAAUCUAAUAAAAUUUAUUUAUGUGGACGUUUAGAUAGAUAACCUAUAUUAUUGACACAUAGGAUAAUUUUAAAUAACUUUAUUUAAUCAAUUAUUCAAUUUUUAAAAAUUUUAAAUUUUCAUAAUUUACAUUUAUCCAAAUCUUUUAAAAUAUAUAAGUUUUAUCCUAAUUUAAAUUUGAAAAAAACAUAUCAUAUACUUUACUCUUACAUAUAUAUGAAAUAUAAAAUUCAAAUAAAAUUUAAAGGUUAAAUUCUUAAAUCGUAGGGAUCAUAAAAAAAAAACACUUAUCUAAAUUAAUAUUCAUAUAAAUUUAAUUUGUGGUUAAACCACAGUUGUUUACCAAAAUUUUUGUCUUUAUUUUUCUUAAUAUUUUUUGGAAACAUUAUUUUUUUAAUUUAAAAUAAAAUAUAGAUAUUUUAUCUCAAUUUAAAAUUAAACCCAUAUCUAAAAUUAAAAUUAUACUAAUAUCUUUUAUCUUAAUUUAAAAUUAAACUUAGAAAAACUAUAUUUUUAAAAAUUUAAAAAUUUUUUAAAAUUAAAUAAUUAUCAAAUACAUAUUUAUGAUUUAUUCUUACAAUCAAUAUUUUCUUCUUUAUAAAAGAUAGAACAAUUAGAUUUUUAUUAUAAAAGUUUGACAUGAUAAAGUUUUAAAAUCAAACAUGAAAAAAUCUUUCAUGACAUAUCAUAUUUAUAAAUUUUAGUUUUCGUACUAAAAUAAUAUAUACUUUUAAAAAUAUAUGUAAUUGUAAACAAGAAAUUGAUUUUUUUCAUUGAGAUUUAUACGUAAUUUUAUUUUUAUAAUUCAAAAUUUUCAUAAUACUUAUUUAAAUUUUUUCAUAAUAAUUUAUAUAUAAACUGUUUUUAUAAUUUUAAAAGUACAAAUUAUAGAUGAUUAAAAAUAUUUUUAUGUAUCUAUAUAUAAUAUAAAAAUUAGUAUGAAUUAAAAUUUUAAAUUACGAAAAAAUUCUGUGCAUGGCACAAGUAAAAAUACUAGUUUAUUAAUAAUAUAUAAUAUUAUCCAUUUACUGUAUAUUAAAUAUAAAUUUUUUUAAGUAAAACCAUAUGAUUUUUUUAAAAUUUAAAACAGUCUGGGUUUUUUUUUUUUCAUAUUAUUUUUGUAAAAUGACCAUAUCUAUAAGUUGGUUGAAUACUUAGAUUGAUAAAAUUUUCUUUAAAUAUGAUUGUUUAAUUGGUAAGAUUGUUUGUGUAAUUAAACUUUACUUACUAUGACUAAAUUAAUAAAAUUAUUCGUCUCGACAUAAGUAAUUUAUAAGUUUGAACCUUACACAUUAAUCUAUCUUAAGAUCAUAAAUAUCAGACAAGAUGCACUUGAAUCAGAAAAACCCGUGCUCAAAUGGAUUCAAAAUGUAUUCAAGUGGGGUUUUCGGGAACGUAUCAAUAAGCUAGACCCAUACUUCGAGUUGUUUCAUGCCAUAAAUAAACUCGAACGCUCAAGAAAUCUGUUGGACAAGCGGAUUCACAUCUCUUACAACCAACACAGUCUUCUGUUCUUGGAGCGGAAGCAAUUUGCUUAGCUUUACAUCCAUCCCAAGGUAUCAUUUCUAACACAUCGGUGGGGCAGGCUCGGACACAUUGAGUACACCCUAUACAUGUAUCAUAAAUUUUUACUGAAUGUGACAUGGGAUCUAUAAUUUUUUGAACAUCAUAAAAUUUCAAUCUAGUAAACUUGUAAAUGAAUCAUUAUAGUUAAACACCAGAUGAAUCAACGAUUUACCAGAAAUUUUCUAAUCAAUUUCCUUCGGGAUCAACUCAUAAGAAAGGACCAAGAUACUUUGAUUUCUUACGUUUUCGAAAACAUGAUGUAGAUUCCAACAUAUUGGACAUGCUAAUUCAAAUUGGUGAAUCUUAUAAUUUAAUAUUAUUAAUAUUACUUAUUCAACAAAGUUGAUU
rnacentral:lncRNA from 1 species